GAUCAUGCUCAGGAUGAACGCUAGCGGCAGGCUUAACACAUGCAAGUCGAGGGGCAGCGGGGAGUAGCAAUACUCCGCCGGCGACCGGCGCACGGGUGCGCAACGCGUAUGCAACCUACCUUUAACAGGGGCAUAACACUGAGAAAUUGGUACUAAUUCCCCAUAACAUUCGAGAAGGCAUCUUCUUGGGUUAAAAACUCCGGUGGUUAAAGAUGGGCAUGCGUUGUAUUAGCUAGUUGGUGAGG
rnacentral:rRNA from 1 species